ensembl:lncRNA
GAAAGAUAAUCCCUCUCACAACUGCAAUUCCAGGUUUUCAAACAGAGAUGGCGACAAAGAGGCAAAACUUACGGACUGCAGCACAUUCUCUAUUCAUCGACACAUUUCUAGACAAUUGCGAGCGAACCCUACAACCUGCCUAGAGCGAACACAACACACAACUAAAUACGUAUUUGUUACAGUGCAGAGUACAUGACAGCAACAGUUUUUACACUUUCAGAAUAGAAAUGUACGGAUAAUUUACUCACCCCCAUGUCAUCCAAGAUGUUCACGUCUCUCUUUCCUAAGUCGCAAAGAAUUUAAGGUUUUUGAGGAAAACGUUCCAGUAUUUUUCUCCAUACAGUGGACUUAAGUGGUGCUCAACGGAAUGAAGGUUAAAAUGCAGUUUUAAAGGGCUCUACAUUAUCCCAGCCGAGGAAUAAGGGUCUUAUCUAGCGAAAUGAUCGGUCAUUUUCUUUAAAAAAAUACAUAUAUAUUUAUACACUUUUUAACUACAAGUGCUCGUCUUGUCUAGCUCUGCAAGGCGCUUGCGUACUCUGUCUGUGUACAACGGUUCAAGUCAGGUAGGGUGACCAAACGUGCCAUUUUCCCAGGACAUGUCCUGGCCAGGAUUUCUAUAUUGCCUAAAAUAUUUAGGUUUUGGCUUUGGUUUCCUGUUUUCAUACUCAGUGUAAUGAUCGUUUGACCAAUAACAUGCAGACAUUGUACGUAAUCGAC